rnacentral:rRNA from 1 species
CAGUAGCCGCGGUAAUACGGAGGAUCCAAGCGUUAUCCGGAUUUAUUGGGUUUAAAGGGUGCGUAGGUGGCCUGUUAAGUCAGGGGUGAAAGACGGUAGCUCAACUAUCGCAGUGCCCUUGAUACUGAUGGGCUUGAAUGAACUAGAGGUAGGCGGAAUGUGACAAGUAGCGGUGAAAUGCAUAGAUAUGUCACAGAACACCAAUUGCGAAGGCAGCUUACUAUGGUUUUAUUGACACUGAGGCACGAAAGCGUGGGGAUCAAACAGGAUUAGAUACCCCAGUAGUCCCUGUCUCUUAUAC